CGCAGAGACCUGGACUGCGCGAGAGACGCUGUUAGUUCUGUGCACCCUGCUCUGCAAGUUGCCACCAUGGAGAUGAGCCAAUCUGGAGAGGUGAGGAAUAAGGGCGAAUCUUGUACCACGUGGAGGGCGCUGUCCUCAGAGGGCACCGCCUCCAUCUGCAUCAAAUCACCGCAAGGACAGGCCAAAUGAAGUGGUGAUCAGCUACCUGGCGUACCUGAAAGCGCAGUGCGAGCGUGACGCGUCCGUCUGUGACCUGGCCGAGCUGCGCGCGACGCUGCCAGUGCUCACUUCGAGCGCCUUCGUGCGGCCGGUGGACACCAGCGUGGACUUCUCCAGAUUCUAUGGGAACAAGUGGGACCUGCCCACCAACCUGUCAGGUGCCGACUGGCUGCUGGCGCACCCCGUGUACAUGCAGGGACAGUCAGAUGUGAACAGCUGGAGAGACUUCCUGCGAAGGCUGGGUGUGUGCAACCUUCUGAUAGUGUGCAAGGAUCAGAGGUCGUAUAGCCAACAGGAUCUAGUGGGCAGUCUAUGUGGCACUCAUAGUGCCUGUAGUCACCAUUGAUGGGUAUCCUUAGUUCAGCCUUUUUAUUUCCGAUUCAUUGAGGUGUUUCAUUGUGUAAUGCGAGCGUAAACGGCCUCGCGGAUAUGACGUAACAGGUGGGAGGAGUUGGGUCACGUGGGGGAGAGGGAGUUCUUUUAAGGGCAGGAACCAGAAGGGCUGGGGGAGAGUGUGGGAAUAAAGACAGGAGGAGGCCACGCAAGGCAGGAGGUGGAAAGUGGCGUGAUCGCCACAGGUCGGACUCGGCACCGUUGGCCAGUGGUGUCCGGGCAUGGGGGAGAUGGAGAACAGCAGCGGGGCUGCAUAGAGAGCAGCCGUGGGGCUGCAGGUCGGAGGCAGAGAGGCUGAAUGGGAAGCCAGCAGCGGGGCUGCAUUGUGUGCCAUCAGCAGGGCUGCGGGAGCGACGGCAGCAGUGGGGCUGCCGAGCGGGAAGGCGGAGGAGACUCUGAGCGAGACGCCGUGCGGGCAAAGUUGUACGAACCACAAGAAAGGACAACGGAGACAGACCCAGUGCAAGAGUCCUUUAUUACACUGGUGUCAGAAGUGAAACGGCAUGUCAAAACAGCUCAGAAGAAAGAAUAUUCCCGCACCAU